AGACCAGCCUAGCCAACAUGGUGAAACCCCAUCUCUUCUGAAGGUCUUCUCUAUUUCUGAAAACUGGAGAAAAGGAAGCCUCUGUAUCAAAACUCUCAAGUGUCCUAGGAAGGAAAUCAAGCAAACCAGAGUCCUGAAACAACCUGACAAUUCCAGUUCUAAAGAGAAUCGAUUACUAACAGCUAUGGCACUGGGCCCAGGAAAUAGAAGUGCUCCAACCUCUGCAAAGCCUAGAAUGAAACACACAGGGGCAAAGGGGAAGACUUCCCUGAAAAUCACUGACAAAAAUCAGAUUAAUCAGAGAAAAGGCAUAGAAUUUAUUUAUCAUGGUUUUAUGUGACAUGGGAGCCUUCAGAAUGAAAACCCAGAGACACAGGGGAAACUGUUUGCUUUUAUGCUUAGGUUCCACAAAGCAUGGACAGAUGUGUAGAAAUAUGAUUGGGCAAAAAGGAUAUGAGCUAAUGGUAAUAGACUCAGUGGGGAAACCCAGCAAAACCUCUUUUCAGGUUCUUCUUGGCCUCUGUCCAGGAUUUCUGCCUUCUGGGUAUGGGCAGGACCCUCUCUGGAAUAGAGUUUUUAUAACCUACAGUCAAACAAGGGCCUGAGAAACCUGUGGCUGAGAAGCUGCUGGCCCAGCUGGUCCUCAUCAGCCCAUAAAUACUGCAUGCAAAAAGGAUUAAUAAAUCAAAUCUAAGAGAAUUAAGAAGGGAUAUGACUACAUCUUACAAUUUAGCUCAUUAUUUUCCAAAUUGGCUCAUCUCUGGACUGUAUUAAAGAAAUCGGUGGUGUUAUCUGACACAUCCCAGACUACCAGAAGAGGCAGCGUUGCAGCAUUAACAACAAUCACGUGUGCACAUAAGCAGGGAAGGCUCAAAAAGACCAAGAAAGUACUCAAGGUAAUGGAGACCCAAGAUGUGGUGAUUCCAAAAGAGAAGCCUGCAAUCUUGUUGUAAACUGUACAGUCUCACGUUUGCCCUGGUUACCCUGUGGAAACAGGACAGACCCAUUGGGUAGGUUUUACCCAUUUGUUGACUUUUCACUAUUGCCAAAUAUAGGUCUCAGGAAUUGCAUUUUGUUGCUGGCUUAGUCUCAUGCCUUUUUGAACCGCUCUCUAUUAGGCACAGUAAAAUAGAAGGAAAUAGCCCCUCUUACAUUGUAAUGAGUGGCCCCUAUAAAAUCAGCAAUAAUCAGUUUGUGGGGCAAAGCCAUGAGGAUUCAUCUAGAGGGCAAAUUGCUGCCUCCUAUCCCCUACCCACGUCAUUCAAAAUAAAAAUAGAAUAAAACCAUAAAUAAAUGUAGAAGAGUUCAAAAAAUCUGAUAUUUCCUACGACGACUAC
rnacentral:lncRNA from 1 species